rnacentral:rRNA from 1 species
AUGCUCACGGGUCUGCCCAUCCUGGGAGAAACCAGACUCAAAACCACCAAUGGUCGAGUCAAUGAUGAGAACAGCACAGUCAGCCUGGGAGGUACCGGUGAUCAUGUUCUUGAUGAAGUCGCGGUGACCAGGGGCAUCAAUAACCGUGCAGAGGUAGUUGGUGGUCUCGAACUUCGAGAGUGUGAUGUCAAUGGUAUUACCCCUCUCCCGCUCAGCCUUGAGCUUGUCAAGCACCCACGCGUACUUGAAUGACCUCUUAUUCAUCUCAGCAGCUUCCUUCUCGAGCCUCUCAAUUGCAAGCCUGUCAACGCCCCCAAGCAAGCAUAUCAAAUGGCCCGUGGUGGUCGACUUCCCAGAGUUGACAUGGCCUAUGACCACAAUAUUCAGAUGGCUCUUCUCCUUCACCAUUGCUGCAGAUAUUAG